rnacentral:rRNA from 1 species
GACGAACGCUGGCGGCGUGCUUAACACAUGCAAGUCGAACGGAAAGGCCCUGCUUUUGUGGGGUGCUCGAGUGGCGAACGGGUGAGUAACACGUGAGUAACCUGCCCUUGACUUUGGGAUAACUUCAGGAAACUGGGGCUAAUACCGGAUAGGAGCUCCUGCUGCAUGGUGGGGGUUGGAAAGUUUCGGCGGUUGGGGAUGGACUCGCGGCUGAUCAGCUUGUUGGUGGGGUAGUGGCUUACCAAGGCUUUGACGGGUAGCCGGCCUGAGAGGGUGACCGGCCACAUUGGGACUGAGAUACGGCCCAGACUCCUACGGGAGGCAGCAGUGGGGAAUAUUGCACAAUGGGCGGAAGCCUGAUGCAGCAACGCCGCGUGCGGGAUGACGGCCUUCGGGUUGUAGGCCGCUUUCGCCUGUGACGAAGCGUGAGUGACGGUAAUGGGUAAAGAAGCACCGGCUAACUACGUG